GACGAACGCUGGCGGCGUGCUUAACACAUGCAAGUCGAGCGAUGAAGUUUCUUCGGAAAUGGAUUAGCGGCGAACGGGUGAGGAACACGUGAAGAAUCUGCCCUCCACUUUGGGAUAACACCGGGAAACCGGUGCUAAUACCGAAUAUUGAAACAUAAGUGGCAUCACUGAGCUUUGAAAGAAUUUCGGUGGAGGAUGACUUCGCGGCCUAGCAGCUAGUUGGUGAGGUAAUGGCUCACCAAGGCAACGACGGGUAGCCGGCCUGAGAGGGCGACCGGCCACACUGGGACUGAGACACGGCCCAGACUCCUACGGGAGGCAGCAGUGGGGAAUAUUGGGCAAUGGAGGAAACUCUGACCCAGCGACGCCGCGUGCGGGAUGAAGGCCUUCGGGUUGUAAACCGCUUUCAGUAGGGAAGAAGCGAAAGUGACGGUACCUACAAAAGAAGCACCGGCUAACUAUGUGCCAGCCGCCGCAGUAA
rnacentral:rRNA from 1 species